GGACAAUUAGCUCAGUUGGUUAGAGUGUUUGCUUCACACGCAAAAGGUCAGUGGUUCGACUCCACUAUUGUCCA